rnacentral:rRNA from 1 species
UACGUAGGUGGCAAGCGUUGUCCGGAAUUAUUGGGCGUAAAGCGCGCGCAGGCGGUCGAUCAAGUCGAGUGUGAAAGCCCCCGGCUCAACUGGGGAGGGUCAUUCGAUACUGAUCGACUCGAAGGCAGGAGAGGGUAGUGGAAUUCCCGGUGUAGUGGUGAAAUGCGUAGAUAUCGGGAGGAACACCAGUGGCGAAGGCGGCAUCCUGGACUGGUCCUGACACUCAUGAGCGAAAGCGUGGGGAGCGAUCCGG